CUCUUUACAUUUUCCAAGCAACAUUUGGACCAAGUCAUCAGUUCCAUACCUCUUGGCUGAAAUUAAAUAAAAUGAACCAUGAGACUUUCAAAUGGCAUGAAGAAUGAAAGUUUUAAAAGAUAUAUGUAAAAGUACCAAUGUAAUGGAUCUCUUCUUUGGCUGAUUGGUAUCCUUUGAUUGAUGAAGUGAAGACACUUGACAUCAACUGGUGGUCAAUAUCCAGCAUCUGCUUCCCAAUACUACAAAUACUACCUUCUGGUGCCUGAUGACCACUUAGCCCUUCCUCAUCCUGGUGCUGUUUGACCAGUGAUUUCUUUAAGUCUCUAUUACCUGUUGAAUUCAGACACGUACCAUCAUUUGGCAGCAGAGAUUGAACAUCAUCACCAUUAUUGUCCUCCUCUUCCUGCUUCUGGCCAUUUUCUCCAUUUCCUAUGAGAAG